CCUACGGGGGGCUGCAGUGGGGAAUAUUGGACAAUGGGGGGAACCCUGAUCCAGCCAUGCCGCGUGUGUGAAGAAGGCCCUCGGGUUGUAAAGCACUUUCAGUGAGGAAGAACGCCUGGUGGUUAAUACCCAUCAGGAAAGACAUCACUCACAGAAGAAGCACCGGCUAACUCCGUGCCAGCAGCCGCGGUAAUACGGAGGGGUGCGAGCGUUAAUCGGAAUUACUGGGCGUAAAGCGCGCGUAGGUGGCUUGAUAAGCCGGUUGUGAAAGCCCCGGGCUCAACCUGGGAACGGCAUCCGGAACUGUCAAGCUAGAGUGCAGGAGAGGAAGGUAGAAUUCCCGGUGUAGCGGUGAAAUGCGUAGAGAUCGGGAGGAAUACCAGUGGCGAAGGCGGCCUUCUGGACUGACACUGACACUGAGGUGCGAAAGCGUGGGUAGCAAACAGGAUUAGAUACCCUAGUAGUC
rnacentral:rRNA from 1 species